AUGAAGUUCGAGCCCAAGCAGACGCUGACCUACCAGUGCUAGGGCUCCAAGAAGCGGGCGGCGGGCCUGUGCUUCCGCAGCGAGCGGGAGGACCAGGUGCUGCGGGUGAGUAGCAGCGGGUGCCCAGACCAGGGGACGGUCCCAGGAGGAGGAAUGGAGCCUGAGAAGGAGCCUGGCGGUGCUGCCGUCAGGGAAGUUUCUGAGGAGGCUGGAGUCAGAGGAAAACUAGGCAGACUUCUGGGCGUAUUUGAGCAGCACCAAGACCGAAAGCACAGAACACAUGUUUAUGUUCUAACAGUCACUGACAUAUUAGAAGAUUGGGAGGAUUCCGCUAAUAUAGGAAGGAAGAGAGAGUGGUUCAAAGUAGAAGAUGCAAUCCAAGUUCUCCAGUGUCAUAAACCUGUGCAUGCAGAGUAUCUGGAAAAGCUAAAGCGGGGUUGUUCCCCAGCCGAUGGAAAUUCCACGGUCCCUUCCCUUCCAGAUAAUAAUGCCUUGUUUGUCACCUCGGCACAGACCUCUGGGUUGCCAUCUAGUGUAAGAUAGAACUGGGAAGGCCUCUCCCACCACGAGCAGUCUCUUAGGGAGAGGCUUCUUUCAUUUCCUCGUCAAACAUCUGAAUGACGCUUGCAAACUGUCUGAAUUUGCCAUGCAAGGUUUUCAAACAAUUUGCAUGCUUUUCAGAUGCUUUCAAAUCUUUUUUAAAAAAUAGUGUAAAAUAUUUUAAUAAGCCAAAGCCAUGUGGAAUUUUUUUUAGAUGCCUUAACUGUGCCACACCCCACAACCCCCUAUAUUAUUUCGGUUGUCUAUUUCUCACAGCAUAUUUUCAGGUUUUUGCCCAUUUGACAUCAGUCUGUGGUUUGUUUUGUCAUCAGAUUACUUGUGGGUAUACUUCCCCCAAAAUUGUUUUCUCAUUCACAGCGUUAGCAUAUUCAGCAAAUCCAUCUGUCUUGGCAAUGAAAAACACUAUUGGUAUUAAAGAAAUCCAUUCACCCCAAAACUUGUUUUAUAGGAUUACGAUUUUAAUUCAAAUUUUCCAGAUUUUGUCUACUUCUGUAUGAUCCAAUAAUUAUUUUGUCGAAGGGCUUAAUUUGCCAUUUUCAGGGAUUUGUCGAAUUCAUUUGUCUGAAUUUUCACAACUGAUAUUAUGUCACUAGCUAUCUGAUAUGGCUAUUUCCCUUAGAACUCAAUAGUACCUUAACACAAAGUAUAACUCUAUAGAGUUGGUGAAUAUUUUAGGGAAAUAUUAGCGAAAUGCAUGUAGUAAAGACAUCAUGAAAAUUG